rnacentral:tRNA from 1 species
GGGGUUAUAGCUCAGUUGGGAGAGCGCCUGGUUUGCAACCAGGAGGCCAGGGGUUCGAGCCCCCUUAGCUCCACCA